UUAGUCUUACACACAAUGGUAGGCCAGUGAUAGUAAAGUGUAAGUAAUUUGCUAUCAUAUUA
rfam:Human Coronavirus NL63, complete genome